rnacentral:rRNA from 1 species
AUUGAACGCUGGCGGCAUGCUUUACACAUGCAAGUCGGACGGUAACAGGGUGCUUGCUCCGCUGACGAGUGGCGAACGGGUGAGUAAUGCGUCGGAACGUGCCGAGUAGUGGGGGAUAACGCAGCGAAAGUUGUGCUAAUACCGCAUACGUACUGAGGUAGAAAGUGGGGGACCUUCGGGCCUCACGCUAUUCGAGCGGCCGACGUCUGAUUAGCUAGUAGGUGAGGUAAAGGCUCACCUAGGCGACGAUCAGUAGCGGGUCUGAGAGGAUGAUCCGCCACACUGGGACUGAGACACGGCCCAGACUCCUACGGGAGGCAGCAGUGGGGAAUUUUGGACAAUGGGCGAAAGCCUGAUCCAGCCAUGCCGCGUGUCUGAAGAAGGCCUUCGGGUUGUAAAGGACUUUUGUCAGGGAGGAAAUCCCUAGUGCUAAUAACACUGGGGGAUGACAGUACCUGAAGAAUAAGCACCGGCUAACUACGAGCCAGCCGCCGCAGUAA